rnacentral:rRNA from 1 species
CCGCUAUACAUGCAGUCGAACGCUUCUUUUUCCACCGGAGCUUGCUCCACCGGAAAAAGAGGAGUGGCGAACGGGUGAGUAACACGUGGGUAACCUGCCCAUCAGAAGGGGAUAACACUUGGAAACAGGUGCUAAUACCGUAUAACAAUCAAAACCGCAUGGUUUUGAUUUGAAAGGCGCUUUCGGGUGUCGCUGAUGGAUGGACCCGCGGUGCAUUAGCUAGUUGGUGAGGUAACGGCUCACCAAGGCCACGAUGCAUAGCCGACCUGAGAGGGUGAUCGGCCACAUUGGGACUGAGACACGGCCCAAACUCCUACGGGAGGCAGCAGUAGGGAAUCUUCGGCAAUGGACGAAAGUCUGACCGAGCAACGCCGCGUGAGUGAAGAAGGUUUUCGGAUCGUAAAACUCUGUUGUUAGAGAAGAACAAGGAUGAGAGUAACUGUUCAUCCCUUGACGGUAUCUAACCAGAAAGCCACGGCUAACUACGUGCCAGCAGCCGCGGUAAUACGUAGGUGGCAAGCGUUGUCCNGAUUUAUUGGGCGUAAAGCGAGCGCAGGCGGUUUCUUAAAUCUGAUGUGAAA